UUAAGUCAAACCCGUUCCAUCUUACAACCCGAGCCGUCAUAUAACUUGUUGGAAGCAUAUUAUAGUAUUUCUCGUCUUAUACCCCAUCAUGUCAUAUAAUCGCCAAAAAAAAAAAAAUACAUAUUUCCCAUCUUUCCGUCUUGAUUUUACUUCAAUAAGUAAAAGAACAAAAUGCUAUCAAAACUGAAAAACAAAAAUAGAUAUUCUAAGC
rnacentral:lncRNA from 1 species